CUCCGUUGGUGAACCAGCGGAGGGAUCAUUACCGAGUUAACAACUCCCAAACCCUUUGUGAACAUACCUAUCGUUGCUUCGGCGGCACACGCCCCGGCUCCCGGAAUCAGGCGCCCGCCGAAGGACCCAAACUCUUGUCUUUACUGGAUGUAUUAUCUGAGUGAAAAAAACAAAAUAAAUCAAAACUUUUAACAACGGAUCUCUUGGCUCUGGCAUCGAUGAAGAACGCAGCGAAAUGCGAUAAGUAAUGUGAAUUGCAGAAUUCAGUGAAUCAUCGAAUCUUUGAACGCACAUUGCGCCCGUCAGUAUUCUGGCGGGCAUGCCUGUUCGAGCGUCAUUAUAACCACUCAGGACCCCUCUGAUUUCGAUCGGGGCGGGGCCUGGCGUUGGGGAUCGGCCCGCCCCGUGCGGCGCCGUCCCCCAAAUCCAGUGGCGGUCUCGCUGCAGCCUCCCAUGCGUAGUAACUUAACCUCGCAGCGGAGCGCGGCGCGGCCACGCCGUAAAACCCCCGACUUUUACUGGUUGACC
rnacentral:rRNA from 1 species